rnacentral:rRNA from 1 species
AACUUAAAGGAAGUUGACGGGGCCCGCACAAGCGGAGGAACAUGUGGUUUAAUUCGAUGAUACGCGAGGAACCUUACCUGGGCUUAAAUGGGGAGUGACAGCUGUCGAAAGAUGGUUUUCUUCGGACACUCUUCAAGGUGCUGCAUGGUUGUCGUCAGCUCGUGCCGUGAGGUGUCGGGUUAAGUCCCAUAACGAGCGCAACCCUUACCGUUAGUUACCAUCAGGUUAAGCUGGGGACUCUAGCGGGACUGCCACCGUAAGGUGAGAGGAAGGCGGGGAUGACGUCAAAUCAGCACGGCCCUUACGUCCAGGGCUACACACGUGCUACAAUGGCCGAUACAGAGGGCAGCUACCUGGUGACAGGAUGCAAAUCUCCAAAGUCGGUCUCAGUUCGGAUCGGAGUCUGCAACCCGACUCCGUGAAGUUGGAUUCGCUAGUAAUCGCGCAUCAGACCAUGGCGCGGUGAAUACGUUCCCGGGCCUU